GUCUAUGGCCAUACCACCCUGAAUGCACCUGAUCUUGUCUGAACCCGGAAGCUAAGCAGGGUUGGGCCUGGUUAGUACUUGGAUGGGAGACCACAUGGGAAUACGGGUGCUCUAGGCG
rnacentral:rRNA from 1 species